GAGAGUUUGAUCAUGGCUCAGGACAAACGCUGGCGGCAUGCCUAACACAUGCAAGUCGAACGGACAGAACAGAGAAGCUUUUCGGAGUGGAACUGGAAAGUUAGUGGCGGAUGGGUGAGUAACGCGUGGACAACCUACCUUGUAAAGGGGAAUAACCUCGAGAAAUCGAAGCUAAUACCCCAUAAUAACCUUGAAUCGCAUGAAUUGAGGAGGAAAGGCGGCCUUAGCGCUGUCGAUAGAAGAUGGGUCCGCGUCUGAUUAGCUAGUUGGUGAGGUAAAGGCUCACCAAGGCGACGAUCAGUAGCCGGCCUGAGAGGGUGAACGGCCACAUUGGGACUGAGACACGGCCCAAACUCCUACGGGAGGCAGCAGUGGGGAAUCUUCCGCAAUGGGCGAAAGCCUGACGGAGCAAUGCCGCGUGAGUGAAGAAGGCCUUCGGGUUGUAAAACUCUGUCCUAGACGAAGAGAGAGUAUUGUAGUAACUGACAAUACUAGGACGGUAGACUAGGAGGAAGCCCCGGCUAACUAUGUGCCAGCAGCCGCGGUAAAACAUAGGGGGCAAGCGUUGUCCGGAAUCACUGGGCGUAAAGGGCGCGCAGGCGGUAAAUUAAGUCAGGUGUGAAAGUUCGGGGCUCAACCCCGUGAUUGCACCUGAUACUGAUAAACUAGAGUGUUGGAGAGGUAAGUGGAAUUCCUAGUGUAGCGGUGGAAUGCGUAGAUAUUAGGAGGAACACCAGUGGCGAAGGCGACUUACUGGCCAAUAACUGACGCUGAGGCGCGAAAGCGUGGGGAGCAAACAGGAUUAGAUACCCUGGUAGUCCACGCCGUAAACGAUGAGUACUAGGUGUUGGUUGUUUCGAAACAAUCGGUGCCGCAGUAAACACAAUAAGUACUCCGCCUGGGGAGUACGGUCGCAAGACUGAAACUCAAAGGAAUUGACGGGGGCCCGCACAAGCGGUGGAGCAUGUGGUUUAAUUCGACGCAACGCGAAGAACCUUACCGAGACUUGACAUCCUCUUGACGGGAUAUGUAAUGUAUCCUUUUCUUCGGAACAAGGGAGACAGGUGGUGCAUGGUUGUCGUCAGCUCGUGUCGUGAGAUGUUGGGUUAAGUCCCGCAACGAGCGCAACCCUUGUUGUUAGUUGCCAUCAUUGAGUUGGGCACUCUAACAAGACUGCCGGUGACAAACCGGAGGAAGGUGGGGAUGACGUCAAAUCAUCAUGCCCCUUAUGUCUUGGGCUACACACGUGCUACAAUGGUCGGUACAGAGGGCAGCAAGAGAGUGAUCUUGAGCGAAUCUCAAAAAGCCGAUCCCAGUUCGGAUUGUAGGCUGCAACUCGCCUACAUGAAGUCGGAAUCGCUAGUAAUCGCAGGUCAGCAUACUGCGGUGAAUACGUUCCCGGGCCCUGUACACACCGCCCGUCACACCACGAAAGUUGGUAACACCCGAAGUCGGUGAUCUAACCUGCAAAGGAGGAAGCCGCCCACGGUGGGAUCGAUGAUUGGGGUGAAGUCGUAACAAGGUAGCCGUAUCGGAAGGUGCGGCUGGAUCACCU
rnacentral:rRNA from 1 species